AUACGGAGGAUGCAAGCGUUAUCCGGAUUUAUUGGGUUUAAAGGGUGCGUAGGCGGUUUGCUAAGCGGGAGGUGAAAUGCCGGCGCUCAACGUCGGAAGUGCCUCCCGAACUGGUGGACUGGAAUGACUCUGCCGUGGGAGGAAUGUGUAGUGUAGCGGUGAAAUGCUUAGAGAUUACACAGAACACCGAUUGCGAAGGCAUCUCACGAAGGGUAGAUUGACGCUGAGGCACAAAAGCGUGUGGAUCAAACAGGAUUAGAUACCCUGGUAGUCCACGCAGUAAACGAUGAUGGCUAACCGCUGGGCGUAUCAGUUCAGUGGCCAAGCGAAAGCGAGAAGCCAUCAACCUGGGGAGUACGGCCGCACCGCUGAAACUCAAAUGAAUGUUCGGUG
rnacentral:rRNA from 1 species